rnacentral:tRNA from 1 species
GCGGGUGUGGCUGAGUGGUCAGGCACCGGUCUGCAAAACCGUUUACACGGGUUCGAAUCCCGUCACUCGCUCCA